UUUUGGUUAGUCAUGACUAAACAACAUUACGAAUUUACGAUGUAAAGAAGUUCCUCCACUUGUGCACAGGCGUAGGAGGUAUCUUCUGUAUCGUUUUUAGUUUUGUAUCUCCAUAUCUCUGUAAUUUCAAUUUUCAAUUUUCCCUGGGAGGUGUUCCCGCUUCUAGUUGAUUCAGUUUUUGUUCAGGGCCAGGUAUGGUUGCCCAAGGGAGUACAAGCGCUGACGUAUCUUGGUUUGUGGAAAUUUUUGAAGCGCCCUUCUCUUCUAUAACCGACACUAUUUAAUAUUUAUUACUUUAUCAAGUCUUCGUCUUCUCAUCGCCUGUGAUUGUCUAUGGAUUCUUCAUAACAGAAUUAGCCAACUUGUUUUUCUUGAAGCUGUUGACUUUUGUCAUUGAAACAUAGGAAAUAUCGUUUUUCGGUGUGUUGAGUACUGCCAUUUUGCAUGCUUGCAACAUAUAGUGUGAAUGCCCCCGUAUUCAAACCAAAACCAAAAUCCACAAGUUCAGCUUUCUCAGAGAAAAAAAAAAAAAAAA
rnacentral:misc_RNA from 1 species